rnacentral:rRNA from 1 species
GACGAACGCUGGCGGCGUGCUUAACACAUGCAAGUCGAGCGGAGCGGCGAACGGGUGAGUAACGCGUGAGUAACUGCCCCCCUCUCUGGGAUAACAGUUGGAAACGGCUGCUAAUACCGGAUAGUGGGGGUUGACACGGGGCCUAUCAGCUUGUUGGUGGGGUAGUGGCCUCCCAAGGCGACGGCGGAUAGCCGGGCUGAGGGGGGUACCGGCCACCAUGGGCUGGGGUACGGCCCGCACUCCUACGGGAGGCAGCAGUGGGGAAUAUGGCACAGUGGGGGAAACCCUGAUGCAGCAACGCCGCGUGCGGGAUGACGGCCUUCGGGUUGUAAACCGCUUUCAGCCAUGACGCGGUAGUGGCAGAAGAAGCACCGGCUAACUACGUGCCAGCAGCCGCGGUAAUUC